CACCAGCUAGGUUCUGCAGGCCAGCCCGCCUGCGUGCCUGUCCGCAUGCCCUCCUUGAUGGCGUCCCUUCUGGGCCCCUCAGCCGCCAGCUCGCCCGCGCAGCCCCAGCAGUCCAGGGUGGCUCUGCGCAUCCCCACCUACCCCUGUACUUCCACCAAAGUUUCUGUGUCUUUCUCGCCCACCCCCGUCCAGUUUCCUGCACCCACGAUCGCUUCAGCCAACGGACCCAAGACCCUGCCGCCCAGGAACCAGCUGUCUGCAGGACGUGUCAGGCCAAUGACACUCCGCUUACCUGCUCCUGGACUGAUUCCUGGUCCCGUUCCUGGUCCCACUCUUGGUCCUGCUCCUCUUCCUGGUCCCGCGCUCGGUCCCGUUCCUGCUGGUGCUCUUGGUCCCACUUCUGCUCCUUCACCUGCUCCUAUUCCUCUCUCCAGCAUCGCAUCCACCCCUGCGCAGUUCCCCACAUGCCUCCAAAGUCCCGCCGGCUGCUCCCCCACCCCCCGGUCCCAACCCCCAUCCCAGGGCCCGCUGAAGAUUGUCGCCAUGUUCGUCAACCAGAGCCAGGAGCUGGCGCUACAGAAACGCCUGCGCCAGUCCUGGAGCUCCAAGGCCGUUUUUCCCUGCAGGCAGUGCGGCGCCAUCUCCAGGCAACCGUCGCUGGGCGUGCGCCACCGCUACAAGCACCGUGGCCCGCGCCGGCACCGCUGCCAGUGCGGUAGGGCCUUCCAGCGGCGCCUGCACCUGCUGCGACACCAGGUGCAGCACGCCGAGGCCGUGCGCUACGUGUGCGCCGCCUGCGGACGCACCUUCCAAGGGACGCACCGGCUGGGCCGACACAGAUCGGACGCGAUCGCCAAGGCCGGGCCCGGCCAACCACGGACUGAGAAGGAAUGCAGAAACCUGUUCCACUGUGUCUGUGGGCAGGCGUUCGCCAGACCUGCCGCCUUGCUGUGGCAUAUGCUGAAAAAUUCUAAGUCCCGAAAAAAACGCUUAAAAAAGUUUCUAAUUUAGCGACAUGGCUGUUGUAGGUUAGGUACCUGUGUCCUGCAUGGAUGCUUUGAGGACAGGAGGGUGUAUUUUCCUGUUUGAGUAAGACUGGAUUUUCUGGUUUCAGAUGGUCUUUGUUGUAGGCCUGUGUGAUCAUAUCAAAUAUUGAUGGGUCUCUGAUGUUUUUGUUAGAUCAUAAUAAAAAAUGACAUAUUUAC
ensembl:lncRNA